AUUGAACGCUGGCGGCAGGCCUAACACAUGCAAGUCGAGCGGAUGACGGGAGCUUGCUCCUUGAUUCAGCGGCGGACGGGUGAGUAAUGCCUAGGAAUCUGCCUGGUAGUGGGGGACAACGUUUCGAAAGGAACGCUAAUACCGCAUACGUCCUACGGGAGAAAGCAGGGGACCUUCGGGCCUUGCGCUAUCAGAUGAGCCUAGGUCGGAUUAGCUAGUUGGUGGGGUAAUGGCACACCAAGGCGACGAUCCGUAACUGGUCUGAGGGGAUGUUCAGUCAUACUGGAACAGAGACACGGUCCAGACUCCUACGGGAGGCAGCAGUGGGGAAUAGUGGACAAUGGGCGAAAGCCUGAUCCAGCCAUGCCGCGUGUGUGAAGAAGGUCUUCUGAUUGUAAAGCACUUUAAGUUGGGAGGAAGGGCAGUAAGUUAAUACCUUGCUGUGUUGACGUUACCGACAGAAUAAGCACCGGCUAACUCUGUGCCAGCCGCCGCCGUAAUAC
rnacentral:rRNA from 1 species